rnacentral:rRNA from 1 species
AUUGAACGCUGGCGGAAUGCUUUACACAUGCAAGUCGAACGGCAGCACGGACUUCGGUCUGGUGGCGAGUGGCGAACGGGUGAGUAAUGUAUCGGAACGUGCCCAGUCGUGGGGGAUAACGUAGUGAAAAUUACGCUAAUACCGCAUACGAUCUAUGGAUGAAAGCGGGGGAUCGCAAGACCUCGCGCGAUUGGAGCGGCCGGUAUCAGAUUAGGUAGUUGGUGGGGUAAAGGCCCACCAAGCCAACGAUCUGUAGCUGGUCUGAGAGGACGACCAGCCACACUGGAACUGGGACACGGUCCAGACUCCUACGGGAGGCAGCAGUGGGGAAUUUUGGACAAUGGGCGAAAGCCUGAUCCAGCCAUUCCGCGGGCAGGAUGAAGGCCCUCGGGUUGUAAACUGCUUUUGUACAGAACGAAAAGGUUUCUACUAAUACUAGGAGCUCAUGACGGUACUGUAAGAAUAAGCACCGGCUAACUACGUGCCAGCCGCCGCAGUAA